GACGAACGCUGGCGGCGUGCUUAACACAUGCAAGUCGAACGGAAAGGCCUGAUUUCCCUUGUGGAUUGCGGGUACUCGAGUGGCGAACGGGUGAGUAACACGUGAGUGAUCUGCCCCCAACUUGGGUAUAAGCCUGGGAAACUGGGACUAUUCCCGCUAGGUCCGGAGGGAGGUGGCGGUGGUGGGAAACGAUUUUCUUGUGGUUGGGGAGGAGCUGGUGGGCUAGUAGGCUGUGGGAGGGGUAACGGACGACCAAGGCGGUGACGGGUAGCCGGGCGGGGAGCGUGGACGGUGACAUUGGGACUGAGAUACGGCCCAGACUCCUACGGGAGGCAGCAGUGGGGAAUAUUGCACAAUGGGCGGAAGCCUGAUGCAGCGACGCCGCGUGGGGGAUGACGGCCUUCGGGUUGUAAACUCCUUUCGACCGCGAGGAAGCCACCUGGUUGGAAGGGUGGUGACGGUAGUGGUAGAAGAAGCACCGGCUAACUACGUG
rnacentral:rRNA from 1 species